GUAGGGAUCAUUUUCGUUAAAUUCUCGAGUUAAAUUGAGAGUUUUCUGGGAUUUUCCAUUGGUAAGAAUAUGUGUAAAAGCAUGUUUUUACUUUGGUAAAGGCUUGGGUAACACCAUGUCUUUACCCUUUAUGUGAUGAAGAUUUGUGUAAAAGCAAGUCUUUAUUACAAUCCUGUGCAAUGGAGCACAUGGCUUAUGCAUCGAUGAAGCCCGCGGCAAAAAGCGAUAUGUAAUGAGAUUCGUUAGCUUCGAGAUUCAUCGAAUUGGUGAACACAUACUGGACCUCUCUGAGGUACUUGCGUUAGAGUGUCAGUUUUUUUGUAGUAUUGAUCUCUGAAAAAUGUGCUGCUUUUUAAGUUUGCGCACUAUUCAGAGGAAGCGUGUCAAAAAUUAUUUUUGAUACGAAUUUUAAUCUGAAAAGAUUUUAAUUAUACUUGAAUUUUCAAAUCUGAAAGGAUUUUAAUCUUCUUUAACUGGCCUCUAAUGUGAGAGGGAACCCACUGGAUUUAAGCAUAUUAAUAAGUGGAGGAAAAGAAAUCAACAGAGAUUCUCCUAGUACCUGCGAGGGAAAAGAGAACAGCCCAUCCUGAAUCUGCGCCUCACGGUACGGAGUUGUAGGGUGUGAGCUUAAUUCCUUGGACAGAGAAGCGUGAAAUUGCCUGCAAAGGCAUUCACUCGUGAAUCCGUAGAGGGUGUUAGACCCGUUAGCGUUUCAUUCUGUUCUGUAAGGAAUUGGGUUUGCGAGUAGGAUUGCUUGAUAGUGCAAUCUGAAUAUAGGGGAUAAACUUCCUCUAAGGCUAAAUAUAAUGCAUAAGACCGUUAGUAAACAAGUACCGUGAGGGAACGUUGAAAAGUACUCUGUUAAGAGGGUGAAAAGAGUGUGAAAUUGUAUAGGUUUAAGCGUAACCAAGUACCGCUUCCUGUAGUCUUCUUUUUGGUUUUCUAUAGGUAUCCAACAAAUCUGUUUCUGUCUUUUUGACGGAGAUUGGUUUACACAUAUUAAUCAUGCCGUUGUAAAUGUCUUGUCCUCAUGACAGUCUUGCUGCCGCUUCAUUGUUUCACGACUUUGGGGUGGUACUGGGGCUUUAGUGUUUACGAGAUAUUGCAAGUUAUCGGUACUUAAUAUAUUGUUGGUAUGGUAUUUGGGAACGUCCCGUCUUGAAACACGGACCAAGGAGUCUAACAUAUGUGCAAGCCGUAGCGAUUUUAAUUGUGAAGGCGUAAUGAAAGUGUAUUGUGUUAACAGCACAAACCGGGCCUUUCGGUCUGAGUUAGAGUAAAUAUGUUAGUACCCGAAAGGUGAUGAACUAUGCCCGAACUGGUCGAAGCCAGGAGAAAUCCUGGUGGAGGACCUCCCGCGGUGCUGACGUGCAAAUCGCUCGUCCGAGUUGGGUAUAGGAGCGAAAGACUCAUCGAAUCGCCUAGUAGCUGGUUCCUGC
rnacentral:misc_RNA from 1 species